rnacentral:rRNA from 1 species
UACAUAGGGUGCAAGCGUUGAUCGGAAUUACUGGGCGUAAAGCGCACGUAGGUGGCGACGUAAGUCGGGUGUGAAAGCCCAGGGCUCAACCUGGGAAUUGCAUUCGAGACUGCAUUGCUGGAGUACGGAAGAGGAGGUGGGAAUUCCCGGUGUAGCGGUGAAAUGCGUAGAUAUCGGGAGGAACAUCAGUGGCGAAGGCGGCCCUCUGGUCCAGUACUGACACUCAAGUGCGAAAGCGUGGGGAGCAAACAGG